rnacentral:rRNA from 1 species
UACAGGGGGCUCGAGCGUUAAUCGGAAUCAUUGGGCUUAAAGGGUGCGUAGGCGGGUUGCUAAGUGUUCUGUGAAAUCCCUCGGCUCAACCGGGGAAUCGCAGGGCAUACUGGCAGCCUUGAGGCAUGUAGGGGCGGACGGAACUGUAGGUGGAGCGGUGAAAUGCGUAGAUAUCUACAGGAACGCCGAUGGUGAAGACGGUCCGCUGGGCAUGUCCUGACGCUGAGGCACGAAAGCGUGGGGAGCAAACAGG